ensembl:lncRNA
GUUCUAUUCCAGUACACAGAAAUCUUCAGGGAAACAUCAGUUGAAAAGAAAACUCCUCCCAGCAACUGUAAAGCGAUGACGUUUCUUCAUCACAUCCUUUCCUUCUUAAACCUCAGUUAUGUCAGCUGGGCUGUUAAUUCUUAGUAUAAACACUUGAUGUGAUCUAAUUCUAGUCAUUUAAAUCCACUAAACUCUGUUAUAAAGUUUCUAAAUGCUUAGAAAGUCUAAAGGCUUUAUGUUGUUAAAGAUAAAAUGAUCUGCCUUCUAAUUUUCUGCUGCCUCCCAGGGGUUUUUCUCGGGCUUGAGGUCCGUCAGUCUUCUUCUGAUAUCAUCGCAAAUGUUAGUUCAAAUGUGCAGAUUUUCUGCAUCCACGAUAAAACUGACUACUAUUUGAUGCUCUGGUACCAGCGUCCACCUGGGGAAACAGCCAUGAAACUCAUCGGGUAUUUGUACCACAAACAAGUCACAAUGGAAGAUCAGUACAAAAGCAAUUUCACUAUUUCUGGAGAUUUGACUGGGAGUACAGCAAAGAACAGCUCUCUGAUAGUCAAAGCUACACAACAAGAGGACAGUGCAGUGUACUACUGCGCAGCAAGCAAAGCACAAUGACAGAAAUCCUCUGUGAACAUUACAAAAACUCCAUAAUCUGGAACCAUCAGUGGUUUGAAACCAGAAUGGAAACAAACUGACAUCAGACACCUGGUUUUGUUCUUUUGGUUUUUAAUUGAGAUAUUAUUUUGUUGAUUUCUUCCAAUUACUGAUAAUAAAAGGUAACUGCUUCGCGGUGACGUGAC